rnacentral:rRNA from 1 species
GUGGGGAAUAUUGGGCAAUGGGCGAAAGCCUGACCCAGCAACGCCGCGUGAAGGAAGAAGGUUUUCGGAUUGUAAACUUCUGUCCUCAGGGAAGAAGGAAGUGACGGUACCUGAGGAGGAAGCCCCGGCUAACUACGUGCCAGCAGCCGCGGUAAUACGUAGGGGGCGAGCGUUGUCCGGAAUGACUGGGCGUAAAGGGCGCGUAGACGGCUGUCUAAGUCUGGAGUGAAAGUCCUGUUUUCAAGGCGGGAAUUGCUUUGGAGACUGGAUGGCUUGAGUGCGGAAGAGGUAAGUGGAAUUCCCAGUGUAGCGGUGAAAUGCGUAGAGAUUGGGAGGAACACCAGUGGCGAAGGCGACUUACUGGGCCGUAACUGACGUUGAAGCGCGAAAGCGUGGGGAGCGAACAGGAUUAGAAACCCCAGUAGUCC